UCAUUAAGUGUUAAUUAUUAUUAUUAUUACAGAGUUCCAGUACUCAUGAUGUCCCAGUCACUGGUGGAGUAACAGAUGAAGUGUUUGAUGACAGUGGAGUGAGUAGAUACAGUGGUAGCAGCACUGGAUGAGGAGGGAAUACUAGCUAGCAGCUGUCAUUCAAGAGAUGAGUCAACACCUUUCUGGCUAACACAGUAAUUGUAAAAGCUUCUUAAUUGUUGUUGCAUGGUAUGAUAUUUGCAUUCUGAGUCGUGAACAAAGGGACUGAGGGCGUGUGUGGUGUAGGGAAAGUAGCCAGGAAAGAAGUCUAGGCGUUAGGCAGACUAGGGGUUAGUAACCGACUGUGCUAAGACUCUGAGGUGUUGGGUGUGGCGUCCUCUCUUAAACUAAAUGUCACAUUAUUUAAUCUCUCUUCCCUUUUUCUUCCUCCUCUCUCUCCCUCUUAUAGCCUAAUUAGAAUAUUAUAGUCGGUGCUUCUGUUGAAGUCCCAGAGUGUCCUCCUCAACCGAACUGCACAAAAGGAAAGGCCAUGACUAGUGGGUGGGUCAUUGAACCUUAGCGCUAUGAAGAAAAAUUACUCACACAAGUCACUUAUUUUGUGCAGGUUGAUGUGGGAGGAGUACCAGCAACACUGGUUAAUAUUGUGUCAAGACAUCAGCCAUUAGCAGUUGCAUAUUUACAUGAUUAUUUAGAAAAAAACUAGUUUAAGUACAAAUAGAAAUGGAAGAGAGAGUAGACCCAGUUUAUUAUCAGGUACUGAUUCACCUAGUGAUCUAACUAUGAUGUAUAAAACAUAAUGUAUUAUAGUGUACACU